UACAGAGACUCCAGAUUCAGGUACAGAGACUCCAGACUCAGGUACAGAGACUCCAGACUCAGGUACAGAGACUCCAGGCAUAGGUAGAGGGCUCUGUGAAGGUUGUAGAGUCUUAAAUUACAAGCAUACAGCUCCUUACCCCUGCGUUCACCUUGUAAGAAAUGAGUGGAAGAGAUACCUCCUCAGAACACCCUCAUCAGUCACUCUCAAGACUGCAUCUCCCUACAGAGUUUCCUGGGCUUUCCAAGUGAACAAAUUCAAAUAUAUUCACGCGCACA